rnacentral:lncRNA from 10 species
CUCCUCCCGCUGCAAACGCGCGAACUUCUGUGGCUCGAUCCCAGUGCGCACUCCUCCCAGUGCACUGGCCGGUUGGAGUUUUGCCAGGGAGGCCUUCCCACCUGCCUGUCUCAAUGGAAAGAAUAUGUGGAUUUGGAUUCAGGGACACCUUUAUCACCUAUGUGACUUUAGGAGUCAAUGAAGCAAGUUCAUGAGACUCUGAGGCAAGGACACCAAACCAGGGGUUUUAGCUCCUACCCAUGGUACUGGCUAAUAUAUCUGACCACACUGGCUCUGCAAGACCAUGGCUGAAGACUGCUUAAAUGUUGUCCCUGAGUCAAUAUCUUAACAUUUAUUGCAUCUUUUAUUUUCUUAACAAAAAUGAAGGCAUUUGUGACUGUGUUGUUUUCCAUCAAAAAUUGGGAAUCAUGCCCUUUCAUACAACACAGUUGUGGUCCAUCUUUUCUUCUGGGGUAGUAGAAAGAUCAAGAUCAUCAGAGAACGUAGGGUGCAAUAUCAGCUCUCCAGUACCAAACACGGUUCAUUAACCUCUCGGAACCUCAGGUGUCUUGGGGCAUAGUUCAUGUCUCCUGGCCCAUCUCACAGGAUUAUCAGGAGGACGAAUGAGAUAAAAUAUCUUCAUAUAUUUUUGAAGAAAGAAGAGGCUGACCAAUUAAGAGGAGUGAAAUUUGGAGGAAAUUACUAACCUGAUAAUUAGAACACUGAUAAAAGAAAAAUGGGAGUCUCUAAGAACAAAUGAGUAAACAAUUUCUCAGGCUAAAGAAAAUAUCACCUAAUGCUUCUGAUAUACAGAAUUGUGUGCUGCAAAUGGUUGAAAAGAUUUUAGUUUCAACACCUAAUUCCCAUCAUUCUGUGGCAAAAUAUAUCUUGAGUUCUGAUGGGCGCCAGAACAACAUCUGAAGAUUGAAUGAAACUUCUAAAGUGAUAACAAGGCCCGUCCUGUACUUCACAGAAGACUUCUGAGGGUCAAAGAGAAGAUUUAUAGUUCUGGAGGUCAGAAGUCCAAGCUGAGUUUCACUGGCCCAAAUUCAAGAGUACCAGGCCAGAUUUCCAAAUGGGACAACAGGUGGAACUCUCAUUUUGCUCAUGUUCA